rnacentral:rRNA from 1 species
UACGAAGGGGGCUAGCGUUGCUCGGAAUCACUGGGCGUAAAGGGUGCGUAGGCGGGUCUUUAAGUCCGGUGUGAAAUCCUGGAGCUCAACUCCAGAACUGCCUUUGAUACUGAAGAUCUUGAGUUCGGGAGAGGUGAGUGGAACUGCGAGUGUAGAGGUGAAAUUCGUAGAUAUUCGCAAGAACACCAGUGGCGAAGGCGGCUCACUGGCCCGAUACUGACGCUGAGGCACGAAAGCGUGGGGAGCAAACAGG